rnacentral:rRNA from 1 species
GGCUGUUCGCCAUUUAAAGUGGUACGCGAGCUGGGUUUAGAACGUCGUGAGACAGUUCGGUCCCUAUCUGCCGUGGGCGCUGGAGAACUGAGGGGGGCUGCUCCUAGUACGAGAGGACCGGAGUGGACGCAUCACUGGUGUUCGGGUUGUCAUGCCAAUGGCACUGCCCGGUAGCUAAAUGCGGAAGAGAUAAGUGCUGAAAGCAUCUAAGCACGAAACUUGCCCCGAGAUGAGUUCUCCCUGAGACUUUAGGUCUCCUGAAGGAACGUUGAAGACGACGACGUUGAUAGGCCGGGUGUGUAAGCGCAGCGAUGCGUUGAGCUAACCGGUACUAAUGAACCGUGAGGCUUAACCUUACAACGCCAAAG